rnacentral:rRNA from 1 species
UACGUAGGGGGCAAGCGUUGUCCGGAAUUAUUGGGCGUAAAGAGCGUGUAGGCGGUCCGGUAAGUCAGCUGUGAAAGUCAAGGGCUCAACCCUUGAAUGCCGGUUGAUACUGUCGGGCUAGAGUCCGGAAGAGGCGAGUGGAAUUCCCGGUGUAGCGGUGAAAUGCGCAGAUAUCGGGAGGAACACCAAUGGCGAAGGCAGCUCGCUGGGACGGUACUGACGCUGAGACGCGAAAGCGUGGGGAGCAACAGG